ACAGAACUUUCCAGAGAUGGAUUGGUGCCUUCGGGAACUGUGAGACAGGUGCUGCAUGGCUGUCGUCAGCUCGUGUUGUGAAAUGUUGGGUUAAGUCCCGCAACGAGCGCAACCCUUAUCCUUUGUUGCCAGCGAUUAGGUCGGGAACUCAAAGGAGACUGCCAGUGAUAAACUGGAGGAAGGUGGGGAUGACGUCAAGUCAUCAUGGCCCUUACGACCAGGGCUACACACGUGCUACAAUGGCGCAUACAAAGAGAAGCGACCUCGCGAGAGCAAGCGGACCUCAUAAAGUGCGUCGUAGUCCGGAUUGGAGUCUGCAACUCGACUCCAUGAAGUCGGAAUCGCUAGUAAUCGUGGAUCAGAAUGCCACGGUGAAUACGUUCCCGGGCCUUGUACACACCGCCCGUCACACCAUGGGAGUGGGUUGCAAAAGAAGUAGGUAGCUUAACCUUCGGGAGGGCGCUUACCACUUUGUGAUUCAUGACUGGGGUGAAGUCGUAACAAGGUAACCGUAGGGGAACCUGC
rnacentral:rRNA from 1 species